rnacentral:rRNA from 1 species
GACGAACGCUGGCGGCGUGCUUAACACAUGCAAGUCGAGCGGUAAGGCCCUUUCGGGGGUACGACGAGCGGCGAACGGGUGAGUAACACGUGGGUGACCUGCCCUCAGCUCUGGGAUAAGCCCGGGAAACGUGGGUCUAAUACCGGAUAUGACUUCAUGACGCAUGUUGUGGAGUGGAAAGCCUUGUGCGGCUGAGGAUGGGCCCGCGGCCUAUCAGCUUGUUGGUGGGGUGANGGCCUACCAAGGCGACGACGGGUAGCCGGCCUGAGAGGGCGACCGGCCACACUGGGACUGAGAUACGGCCCAGACUCCUACGGGAGGCAGCAGUGGGGAAUCUUGCGCAAUGGGCGAAAGCCUGACGCAGCGACGCCGCGUGAGGGA